UCUUCGAUGGUCUAGUGGUGAUGAUUUCCGCUUGUCAUUGGACUUCCAAUCAAGCGCGGGAGACCGGGGUUCGAUUCCCCGUCGGAGAG
rnacentral:tRNA from 1 species